rnacentral:rRNA from 1 species
GAUGCAUAGCUGAGUUGAGAGACUGAUCGGCCACAUUGGGACGUGAGACACGGCCCCAAACUCCUACGGGAGGCAGCAGUAGGGAAUCUUCCACAAUGGACGCAAGUCUGAUGGAGCAACGCCGCGUGAGUGAAGAAGGGUUUCGGCUCGUAAAGCUCUGUUGUUGGUGAAGAAGGACAGGGGUAGUAACUGACCUUUGUUUGACGGUAAUCAAUUAGAAAGUCACGGCUAACUACGUGCCAGCAGCCGCGGUAAAU